AGCAAACUGGAGAAAAUUAAUCUGAGUAAUUGUAAGCGAACAGAGAAAAUCUGUUCAGUUCUAGCUACUGUUCUCUCCUCCAAAACCACCUUGAAAGAGAUAAACCUGAACAACAGCCGUCUGCUGGACUCAGGAGUCAAAGUGAUCUGUGAGGGACUGAAGAAUCCUGUGUGUGAGCUGAAGAUACUCAAACUUUCAGACUGCAGUAUCACAGAAGAAGGUUAUAAA